AACACUACUUUUGGUUUUCCAACAGAUGAGAUGCUGAAGAUCCCUCUAGCCCCCGAUUCUCUCUCUCUCUCUCUCUCUCUCUCAAAUUAGAUUUUAGGGUUUUCGGGUCGGAAGUUUAGGGCUAGGGUUUAUGGAGAUGAUGACAAUGGAGAGCUUGAUCCACCUCGUGAACAGGAUCCAGACUGCCUGUACAGUCCUCGGCGACUAUGGUUGUGACAAUGCCCUGCCGACUCUUGGGAAGCCCUUCCUCCGUCGUUGUCACCGGUGGACAGAAUUUGGAAAAAUGAUCAGUUUUGAAGAGCAUCAUGAGGUGGGAUUUUCUUCCUAGGGGAUCUGGUUGGAGUUCUAUAUUUUAUAUUCUUUUACUUUUAUUUUUAUUUUUAUUUUGAAUUUUUUCAAUGGUGGAUCUUGUGGUUUCUUUGUAGGGAUUGCCAGAUGUCGAUCAUUGGUUCUACAGCUGCACAUGAUGGAUGAAGUAUAGCCAGAGUAUGCCGAGUUUCUACAGUUAUACAAGUGCAACUUACUUCAAUGGUAACAAGUUGACGAGGAGGGCUUGCAUCUUUAAAUUGAAAAACAAUCCUUCAUUUUGACAACCAGAGUACUUUUUGCUGCACUGAAUUGGUUUUGUGUUUGUGAUGAGUGUUAAAGAUGGUGCAUCGUUUGUAUAUUUUAAUUUAUCCACUUAUUCAUCUAUAGAUAAUGACACUGGAGGUUAGCUUAAAUGGCUAUAUCUUUUAGACGAAUGUUGUUCCUGUGUCCAGGUGGGGAAUGGUGCAAUACCUGCUUUGAUUAGCUCACAUAACUUAUUUAGAUUAAUUCUUGCUUCUUACAACUGCCCCAUGUACCUACUAAAAAGCUCAAAUUAUUCAUCUCUAAGAUUCUUGAAACAUCAAUUUUUGUUUCCUAGUGAUCUUCUUCUUUCCUAGAAAUGAAUACACUUCUUCCGUUCUUUUUUUAUAUCUUCUAAUUUGAUAUUAACAUAGGGAUUUAUUUCAGGUUAAGUACAAUGACAACCAAAAUGCAAGCAAGCAAGCAAGAUUCCCAACUUUCAAGUAUAGAAGUGGCAGAACAACAGAUUCUGUUAUUCUCCACCUCGCAUUUUCUUUAUUAAAUCUCUUUUAGGAUAUCAUUUCUGAUAAAGAAUUCAAUUUGUCAAACACAUCUUUUCAAUGUUAUAUCAUAUUGUUAUUGAUUUUUCCUUUGGGAGUUCCAUGACUUGCUGCCCAAAACAUCUACACUGAACACUUGACACGCCAUCAACUCCCUUAGCCUCAUCAAUGAUAGGUUGGAGCAGGUUCCUACCAACGUUUGUGGGAUGCACACGUGUAAUUAUGUACUCAAUCUUCUGUUACCUUUCUUUAAAAGAAAAAACGAAAAACAAAAAACAAAAUAAAAGAGGAAUUUUUCUUUCUUCUAGGUUUUCCUCGUCCAAUCAAAGUUUUGGAUCCGUGAUUUUUGCUGGUAUGAAGUGUCCAGCCCAUUUGAGGCAACUCAUAAAAGUUUCUUGAGCUUCUUUGGAACUUCUUGGAGUUUUAACUAUGCCUUCUUUUUGAGAUUUCUAGGGCAUGGAAAUGUAGAAAGGAAAAAUUCUGGAAAAUACAUGCAGUUCUAGGGCAUGGUCCAUGCAUGACAAAAGUCCAUAGAACCUAUGGUUUGUUUUCUUUUUAGACUCUCUAGUCAUUUUGAUGAUUUGAUAUCCUUUAUUUAGAUCCUCAAGCAUCCCAAACAGAUCUACUUCUUAAUCCAAAGAGUUCUUCUCCAAUGGCCCUUUUUAUGAUUUUCUAGAGGGAUGCUUCUGUCACAGCAGAAAUGGUUAUAUUUGAAGCUGCAAGAGCAAUAACAGAGCUGAGUGGUGCGGCCAAUCUGUCACUAAUGCAGGGGGAGGUAUGUAAAGCAGUCAUCUGUUUGGAGAUUGCUACAAACAAGUUGCAGGUUUUGUUUGACCGACAGAGUGCGAUAAAGCUGAGUGGCAUGUCGGAGAAGGCUUACAACAGAUCUUUCAAUGCAAUGCAGAACCUCAUUGGCCUCAAGACGACACUGGAUAUUCGUGAAUUGGGAAUUCAGUUCGGUUGUGUUAGGCUCAUCUGUUUUGUGCAGAAGGGGCUAUCUCUAUAAGACAUCUAUCCUCUUUCUCAUUGAGUGUCUUUUAAAUAUUUCUUUUGAAUUGUUUUUAUUUACGGAGUAAUGCUUUUCCAUCAGCCUAGUAUUAAGCAAAUGUAGUUGAUUUGGUGAUGUUCUUUUAUUUCUUUUUCAUUUUUUUGACUAAUCAUUGAAAUCCUUUCUUCUCUUUCCAUUUCAACCUGCCUGAUUUUUUAAAAUGUUUCUUACGCUUCAGUGUUUACUUGUUUUGCAGCUUAAAGUAGACAAGAUUAAGCUUAUUGAGCUCUGUGGCACAUCAGAAUCUGAAUUUACUAGUGUUUCAACUUCUAGGCCUAUGCUUUGAUGUUUUCGGUAUUGCAAAGGAAAAGAAAGACCCAAAAGCUGUGAAAGGGCGCACUGAGAACUAUUAGAUGCAUUACCUAGCAAAAGGAAGUAUGAGGAUGAUGGUGAUGUAUCUGAGGACUCGAUUGACGAUGAAGAUGGACUUGAGAAAAUGGGAUAGAAAUGCUAUGCUCUUCUGCUGCUCAUAUUCAUGGUUUUGUUGAUUGGAGGCUUUUCGUCAGUUUCAGCUACAACUACUACUACAGGAAGAUUUGUAGGUGGGGUUUUCUCCAAUGCAUUGUCUGCACUCUGGAAAUGGCUUUGGUCAUUACAAACUGGUACAAAAACAGGUAAAAAUCUUGCAUUUUCAGCUUUUUUAUGGUAAUGAUAUUUACACCCAUGUUUUUUUAAUGCAUACACCCCAUUGUCUAGUUGUGCUUCUUGAAUCAUACAAAAAAGCAGAAAUGUGGGGUUUAUGAAUAAAAAAGGGAGGGUAUUUCUGUUUCUGCUGGAGUGUUUUUGAUCUGUUUGGUUGCCACAUUUUUUCACUAAAAAUUUCAGUUUUUUAGGGUAAUGAUAUUUACACCCCCA